GUUAGGAAUAUUGGACAAUGGGCGCAAGCCUGAUCCAGCCAUGCCGCGUGAGUGAUGAAGGCCUUCGGGUUGUAAAGCUCUUUAGCCGAUGAUUAUAAUGACUGUAGUCGGAAAAUAAGCCCCGGCUAACUUCGUGCCAGCAGCCGCGGUAAUACGAAGGGGGCGAGCGUUAUUCGGAAUCACUGGGCGUAAAGCGUGCGUAGGCGGUUUUGUAAGUUGGGAGUGAAAGCCCAGGGCUCAACCCUGGAAUUGCUCUCAAAACUACAAGACUUGAAUUUGGGAGAGGAUAGCGGAAUUGUCAGUGCAGCAGUGAAAUGCGUAGAUAUUGACAGGAACACCAGUGGCGUAAGCGGCUAUCUGGACCGACAUUGACGCUGAGGCACGAAAGCGUGGGGAUCAAACAGGAUUAGAUACCCCGGUAGUCC
rnacentral:rRNA from 1 species